ACCAUAAUGCACCAGUCAGCGACAAGAAUUCAGGCAGUUGUGAGAUGUUUUUUAGCUCGAAGGUUUGCUCGAAAAAAAAUGAAAGCAAUCAUAAAUAUACAGAGAACGUGGCGAAAUUACAACGUUCGAAAGCGCUUCAACUCGAAGAAGUUUAGAAAACUAAGAGAGCGAAUUAUUGUGGCUAAUUCCAACGUCACCGAGUCCAUGAAGCUUUGAAAUCGUACUCGUUCUGCACUCGACUAUUUACUAAAUUGUAAGAAUUUAACAACGGUCCGUGAAGCUCUGGUUCAUCUUGAGGUCGCAACAAGAUGGACAUUCAAGUGUUCACAACAACAGGUUGAGAAUAUCGCUCUCCGUGUUAUUUUUCAAAUUAUCCGAGACUCAAAUAGGAGUCUAGCUCACAUGGGAUUGAUCAAACUGGCGUUAGAUAUUUUCACCAAUGUGUCCAAGUGUCCAGCCACCCAGGAUGCCGUGGUUUUAAAAGAAGAAAAUGCAUUGGAAACCAUACUUGAACUCGCGUGUAUUUUUCGCGAGAAAAAGGAAAUUUUCCUCAGAGUUGCAAAGCUACUUACAAUUUUAUGUACUCACGAAAACGUAAGAAAGAAAUUACUGAAAACAGAAAACGCUGCAAUGAAGAUAUCUUCCAUUUACUCCAUCACAAAAAGGAAGUUUGAAGUCGAGAUGAAACGGAACACGAAGAUGAAACAACAAAAUGGCAAGGGCGGACGAUACAAGACUGAUAACAUUUAUGGUGAUGCCUUAACAGCCGUGAUCACUCUUAUGGAAACGAUUGGUUUAGAUUAUCCCGUAUAGAUAGGUCAAAUUUAUGCGGCAGUAUGUAAAGUAUUAUUUUUAAAUUAUUUCUUAUUUGCUCAAA